GCUAGGGUCUCGGCCUACCUACAACGGCUGAUCCUCCGAUCUCCAGUCGUCUGUCGAUCACGAACACUCCUUACUCCCGCUCCGCUGCCCGCACCGACAUUCAGGUAAUCCUAGAUAACGGGAUGAUGUUCAGAUCAGGGCUCUGUGGAAGUUAUACCAUCUGAAACCAUAUAAAAACAUCUCGGGUGCCUGACUUUUGCACAAUGCUUGGGAAAGGAAAGAAGAGAAGAUGAAGAAUGGUGAUCGGGGUCCUUCAUUAUGUUGGCUGCUUUCCCAAGGCAGCAGGAAGUGUAAAUGGAUUCGAUAGAGGGGAGACUGGUUUUGUGAUGGACUGGGCUACGUUUACUAAUCUGCCUGUGCAUCUUUGGAACGUGAGAGAAGACCAGAGCACCCACAUGGUCAGAAUCAGGUUUAAAGUCGC